rnacentral:rRNA from 1 species
UACAACAUAAUGCUAAUGCACUGCAUCCUAUUAGAACUAUGCACUUAAGGGCGUUCAGGAUAAAGUAGUACUGGGAUGGGUGACCGCCCAGGAAAUCCUAGUGUUUUAC